GAGUUUGAUCCUGGCUCAGGAUGAACGCUAGCGGCAGGCUUAACACAUGCAAGUCGAACGGUAACAUAGGAAGCUUGCUUUCUGAUGACGAGUGGCGAACGGGUGCGUAACGCGUAUGCAAUCUACCCUUAACUGAGGGAUAGCCCAGAGAAAUGAGGAUUAAUAUUCCAUAACACAAUAUUUUCGCCAUGUUCUUGUAAUUAAAACUCCGGUGGUUAAGGAUGAGCAUGCGUGACAUUAGCUAGUUGGUAAGGUAAUGGCUUACCAAGGCUACGAUGUCUAGGGGGUCUUAAAGGAUGGUCCCCCACACUGGUACUGAGACACGGACCAGACUCCUACGGGAGGCAGCAGUGAGGAAUAUUGGUCAAUGGACGAAAGUCUGAACCAGCCAUGCCGCGUGAAGGAUGAAUGCCCUACGGGUUGUAAACUUCUUUUAUUUGGGAAGAAACCCUUCUACGUGUAGAGGGCUGACGGUACCAUUUGAAUAAGCACCGGCUAACUCCGUGCCAGCAGCCGCGGUAAUACGGAGGGUGCAAGCGUUAUCCGGAUUUAUUAGGUUUAAAGGGUCCGCAGGCGGAAAAUUAAGUCAGUGGUGAAAGCCCAUAGCUCAACUAUGGAACUGCCAUUGAUACUGAUUUUCUUGAAUGUGAUUGAAGUGGGCGGAAUAUGUCAUGUAGCGGUGAAAUGCUUAGAUAUGACAUAGAACACCGAUAGCGAAGGCAGCUCACUAAGUCAUCAUUGACGCUGAGGGACGAAAGCGUGGGGAGCGAACAGGAUUAGAUACCCUGGUAGUCCACGCCGUAAACGAUGAUCACUAGCUAUUGGCGAUAUACUGUCAGUGGCAAAGCGAAAGUGUUAAGUGAUCCACCUGGGGAGUACGAUCGCAAGGUUGAAACUCAAAGGAAUUGACGGGGGCCCGCACAAGCGGUGGAGCAUGUGGUUUAAUUCGAUGAUACGCGAGGAACCUUACCAGGGCUUAAAUGUAUAUUGACGUAUUUGGAAACAAGUAUUUCUUCGGACAAUUUACAAGGUGCUGCAUGGCUGUCGUCAGCUCGUGCCGUGAGGUGUCAGGUUAAGUCCUAUAACGAGCGCAACCCUUAUCUUUAGUUGCCAGCGAGUAAUGUCGGGGACUCUAAAGAAACUGCCCGCGUAAGCGGUGAGGAAGGUGGGGACGAUGUCAAGUCAUCACGGCCCUUAUGCCCUGGGCCACACACGUGCUACAAUGGUAGGUACAGAGGGCAGCUACCUGGCGACAGGAUGCUAAUCUCUAAAACUUAUCUCAGUUCGGAUUGGAGUCUGAAACUCGACUCUAUGAAGCUGGAAUCGCUAGUAAUCGCGCAUCAGCCAUGGCGCGGUGAAUACGUUCCCGGGCCUUGUACACACCGCCCGUCAAGCCAUGGAAGCUGGGAGUGCCUGAAGUCGGUAACCGUAAGGAGCUGCCUAGGGUAAAACUGGUGACUGGUGUUAAGUCGUAACAAGGUAACC
rnacentral:rRNA from 1 species